UCUAAUAUGGCAGAUUAGUGCAAUGGAUUUAAGCUUCAUGAAUAAAGAUUUUUAACUUUUAUUAGAA
rnacentral:tRNA from 1 species